AAGACUAUAGACCUGCGGAGUACCUGCGGAAGGAUCAUUAUCGUAUUGUAACAAUUGGGGGGGCCACCGUGGGCUGUCGCUGACCCUUUGAAAGGGGGGUCGUGCACGCCCCCAUAGUGUCAUCCUCAUACAAUCCAACUCACCUCUGUGCAUCACCGCGUGGGUUCCUUUCUGGGUCGAGUCAGACUGGCUCUGAAAAAAGGGGCUUGCGUUUUCCAUACAAAUACCCUUAUAAAUCCA
rnacentral:misc_RNA from 1 species